rnacentral:misc_RNA from 1 species
GGGAGAACCGCUUGUUUUGGAAGAAGAUAUGGAAAAUGCCCCUUCCUCCAACACUAUCCAUUUUUCUUUGGAGAGCUUUGAAAGAACGGCUACCAGUUAAUGAUCUCAUUCACCACUGAUUGUCCCAUUUUAAUCCUGAAUGAAAGUUCUGUGGAGCUACUGAAACGCAACAUUAUCUAUUCUUUGAAUGUCCGACAGCUGUGGAAAUUUGGAUCCAAUCCCCUUUCUGAAUUAGAUCUUCUUUUAUAUCAGGUGCAACAAUAUUGGAUUGCUGGAAUGAUUUUUUUAUGCCUCUUUUUAAUCAAG